AGUUAAGUGAAGAAGGGCGCACGGUGGAUGCCUUGGCACUAGGAGCCGAAGAAGGACGGGACAAACACCGAUAUGUCUCGGGGAGCCGUAAGUAGGCAUUGAUCCGGGAAUUUCCGAAUGGGGAAACCCACUGCUCGUAAUGGAGUAGUAUCCUUACCUGAAUUCAUAGGGUAAGGGAGGCAGACCCGGGGAACUGAAACAUCUCAGUACCCGGAGGAAGAGAAAGCAAAUGCGAUUUCCCAAGUAGCGGCGAGCGAAACGGAAACAGCCCAAACCAGAAAGCUUGCUUUCUGGGGUUGUAGGACACUCCAAUGGAGUUACAAAGAAACCAUGUAGAUGAAUUGAUCUGGAACGAUCAGCCAAAGAAGGUAAGAGCCCUGUAAUCGAAAGAUGGUUUCCUCCGGAGUGGAUCCUGAGUACGGCGGAACACGUGAAAUUC
rnacentral:rRNA from 1 species